CAGGGCAAAGCACUGGGACUGGGGGCUUGGGGCCCCCUUCAGCUGGCUCUGAGUCCCGACAGCAGUGCCCUUGGGCGCCAUGGACAGGGAAGGCCUUUCCCCGUCCCUCUGCCAUGCCUGCGUGACUUCAGCGACCAAGAGUUUUUCUCUUGAGUUGGCUGCUGCUCAUCAUCAUCACUUUUCUCUCCACCCAUCCAUUCAAUACACCGUAUGCACCCGCCCCACCUGCGUUUCUCUCCACCCAUCCAUUCAAUACACCGUAUGCACCCACCCCACCUGCGUUUUAAGUCAGUAACAAGCCACGUGCCAGCGAGACUGGGCAGGGAGAAAGUGGGUCACAGGCCAAAUCCUGUUUCCACUCUGAGCCUUUCCGUCCUGCUCCUGAGGCUUGGCACGUGGGCUGUUGUUUGAGGUGUUCUGUUAGGACGGGUGUGAACAAACGCUGGUGGUUGGCUCAGGUUAGGACCUAUGAGAGUUGAGGGCGUCGAGGAACAGUCAGGCCAGGGCUUGGGAAGGGUGAUGGGGACCGGAGUGAGACAGGUGCUGAUGUCUUGGGGAAGCUGUGGGUGCCUGGCUAAUGAGUACGUACCUGCUUGUGUGACCAACUGGCCUAGUUUGCCUGGAAUUGAGAGCUUUCUCAGACAUGGGACUUUUAUUGCCAAAACCAGGAAAGUCCUGGGCAAACUGGAACAAGUUGGCCAACUUAUCUGGGUGUAAAAUACAUGGUGUCAACUUGAGAGGACAGGUUACUGAGUAAAGGUGAGAAUGGUGAACGUGGAGCUGCCAUUGGUGGACUCAGUCUUUUGGAGAUAAUUGGGGUAAAAUCAACAGUUGCACUGAGGACACGUAUGUGAACUUUUUAAUCUCCAUUUUAUAGAUGGAGGCGUCUACAUGAGAAAGUAUGUCCCAAAGGCGUGAUGAAAGGCUCUACUUAAUUGUCCAGUUUCUGCAUUUGGAAUUGAAACCACCUUGGCUAAGCUGAGGCAGGAUUCAGGCUGUCAGGCCUGCCUGCUGGCUUUGACACCCUGAAGGUCUGUGCAGGGGCAGGCAUUCUUCAUGGCUGAAACGUUCUGCCCUGCUAGCCAUUCUUCAUGGCUGAAAUGUUCUGCCCUGCUAGCCAGUUCCUGGUAGAGGCUUCAGGCUUCUGCCUGGUAGAAGCGGGCAGUUCUUUUUCUGUCUCACUCCGAGGACUGUCCUCUGACUUCUGUUUGCCACCUUUAUUCAGCUGGUUGUAGCUGCCUGGAAAGAUGCCAAGAGAAGGAGUCUGGGUCCACUGGAGCUAGCUGUGACUGAGCGUGGUGUUUGCUGCCAUGCAGGAACAGCAGCAGUGGGACACAGGCCAGUCCUGAACAAGUGUUCCUGGGGACACCAGGCGCUGGUCAUCAUGCUAGCCCUGUUCUACCGCAGUGUGUGAAGCACGAGCCAUCCCAGGUCUGUAGGGCCUGAGGAGAUCUGAGGAGAGCAUUCAUCCAGGGUGACCCAGGAACCAGGCUUAAGGUGUCACAUGAGUGUCCCAAGUUCUCCAGCCUUCAGGAGUCACCCUUUCCUUGAACAUACACUGAAUAUCAGCUCCCAGACCUGCAGGAAAUCCAUUCAAGAGCCCAGUACAUGCUGGAUUGCUGUGAGCAUUUAAUGAGAUAAACCAUGAAAAGCACACGUCCAGCACCUACUAAGUGCUCUGUAAAAAGGGUCCCCUCAUGGGAAGAGCUGGGGGGCACUGGACCACCUGCACAAGAAUCCACUGAAGGACUCGAUAAACAUGCAGACACCCCAGUACCCCUGAGAGUGUGGGCCAGGAAUCUACUUGAUUAACCAGCAGCAAUGUGACCAGUUGUCUACUUGUCUACGUUCCUUCCAAGACAUGGCCAGUAGAUGGCGGUGCAGUGUGCACUUUCAAUGCAGCUUCUGCAUUUCUGGAAAGAUCUCCCUGUGAAACUUCCUGUGAAUUCAAGUUAACAUCCACCAGGAGAGCUUGACUGCUUAAGCUGCUCUCCCGUCCUGUCCCUUCAGAGUGACUUCUCUUUUUUUUUUUUUUUUUGCGGUACGCGGGCCUCUCACUGCUGUGGCCUGUCCCGUUGCGGAGCACAGGCUCCGGACGCGCAGGCUCAGCGGCCAUGGCUCACGGGCCCAGCCGCUCCGCGGCAUGUGGGAUCUUCCUGGACCAGGGCACGAACCCGGAUCCCCUGCAUCGGCAGGCGGACUCUCAAGCACUGCGCCACCAGGGAAGCCCUAGAGUGACUUCUCUUGAUGCCCCAGGACCUCAAAGUGGUCAGAACUCACUUGGAGGUUCCUAAACUCCUCGAGGUGAGAGACCUCUCUUUCUGAAGAGGUAGCCAAGCAACUGUAAAAUCUUAAUACCCCAACUAGCAUUUACUGAGAACUUACUGUGUGACUAGCAAGACUCUCACCUUCUCAUUUAACUCUCACAGCUGCCCCUGAGAAGGAGAUUGUUAACCUUCCCACAGUCACACAGCAAGUUCCCAUCACUACCUCCUGUUUCCAUCUUGGCUGGAACUUGUGCUUGAGUCAGAGUUGCAGACGGGGAGCAAUAAUGUCUGUGUCUCAGGCCCAGGCUCUGAGAGCUUGGGGAGCGUCCUGAGAAAGGAGGGGAUGCCCUUCCCUGCCUUGGGGGCCAGGGUGACUGGGCAGGGAGCUGCAAGGGACAGACACUGGGUCAGUCCCCCUGUUAAGGGGGCUUCAACUGUUUAGGGAGGCAGACACGACAUGGGUCACAGCACAUAGAGGGCCAGUGGGCAGGCUGUCUAGAGACUCUGAGAGGCUGGAGGGACUGGGGGGUUUUCAAAGACUGGGGGUGAAACCGCACAACUCAGAUUGGGAUUUGAACCCAUGGGCCGGGACUCGAACCUGGCCAAAACCCAGAUGGGGACUUGAAUCCACUGUCUUUUAAUUAAAAUCACAUAUCUGGUCUCAGGACCUACUGAAGUUCAGGGUCUUUAUGUCUCAGCAAUUCAGUGAGAGACAAAGCAAUAGGUAAAAAGUGGAUUUACUUAGAGGGAUACACAUUCCAUAGAUGGAGUGUGGUGUGCCUCGAAAGGCGAGAGUGGCCCUGGGAGAAUCACCCUCCACGGACAGAGCGUGGGCCAUCUCAGAAGGCGAGAGGCCCCGAAAUAUGGGUGGUUAGUUUUUAUGGGCUGGGUAAUUUCAUAGGCUAAUGAGUGGGAGGAUUAUUCCAACUAUCUUGGGGAAGGGGUGGAGAUUUCCAGGAAUUGGGGCACCGCCCACUUUUUGGCCUUUUAUGGUUAGUCUCAGAACUGUCAUGGCCCUGGUAUCAUUUAGCAUAUGCUAAUGUAUUACAGUGAGCAUAAAAUGAAGCUCAAGUUAUACUGGACGUAGAAUCUUCUGCCAUCUUGGACCUAGUUGGUUCUAACCAGUUUAUGUCACAUCCAAAGGCUAUGUCAUUCUUUUAAAGGUUGUGCCUUGCCCCCUUCCCACCUGUUUCAGGGGAACACUGUGGGACAUUCAGUUUGUGUAAUGCUCAUAAUAGAGCAAAUCAUACUUGUUGAAUUUGUUUCCGCUUAUUUAAUCCUUUUCUAAGAGGACUGAGGGGAUUUUCAAGGGAAGGGAUCCAUGGUAUCGGGGAGGAUGGUGUGAAAUGAGCCUGGAGACGUGGACAGGUAAGAAUGUUCACCUGGAGAUGUGGGAAGGUGGGGAUUUUCUCCAAUGGGUGUGGUCAAGGGAAAUGUCCUAGAAAGCAGAGAAGUUUGACUGGAGAUCUGGAAGGCAUCCUUAUCAAUAUGUACUUCUGUUGAGGUCAAAGCCGCACAUUGUUUAUGCAAGACCUCAACUCCCCUUCUUUGUUGUUAGCAGAACCCUGGAUUAGUUGAAGUGGCCACCUGCCCAGCUAAAGAGCUACAUUUCCCAGCACUGGCAGCUAGUCCUGGCUAAUGAGAUGUGAGCCAACAAAGCUGGGCUGGUGUAUUAGUCUGGAUUCAAUCAGGAGAGAAAAACCACAUGGUAAUUUGAAUAGGAAAAGUGUAAUAUAAAGAAUUAUUGACUAUAGCAGAGGAUUGAAGUAAUGAGGGGUUGCCUAGUAAGAGGUAAAGAGAACUCUGAAGAAUACGGGUGAAGUAGCAGAUAUAAGGAGCAGUCAUGACUCUCAGGGCUGAGAAAGAGCUUUCCCUCCCCUAUGCCCUCCCCCCAGUGCUGAGGUCCAGACUUUGUUGGAUUGGGCACAGCUAUGGUUCACUGAACAGCAGAGAAGUUACUGAGGUCUGCCCUAGUGGAACUUGCCAGAAAACUGCCCUCUGUCAUACAAGGGAAAGCUAUCCUGAUACCACUGAGGUAUCUCAAUGGAAGCACUUGAAUACAAAAUUGCCAAAGGUGGGGGUGCUGGAGGAAGCUACCAGCCUUUCAGUGCUUCUGGCUGCUGUAGACUAGGAACAGGUGCUGGAGCAGCUGCCUGCUCUGUAGGAGGCUGCUGAGUGACCCACCUGAACCAGGAAAGGGUGGGCUCCUGGAAAAGCCCUCUAAAAGGGAUUAGAUUUGGCUAGUUUGUCCCUUUUGCACUUGGAUCUUCCCUUUCUUCCUGCAUCCUGGAUCCAGAAUGAAGAGGACUUGGCACAGAGCUGCAACUGACAUGUCACGUGAGUGAGAAAUAAACCACUGUGGUGGUCAGCCACUAAGAUCUUGGGGUUGUUUGUUCUGCAGCACAACAUGCUGAAACCUGACCAAUACACAUGAAGAAUGUUUAUAUAAUAAUUGCCAGUUACAGUAAAUAGAAAUUUCCUGUUUUGUAAAAUACUAUGAGGAGGUGAGAAUUAUGGUUAAAGAAAGAGCCAAUAAGUUCUAAAGCAAAGAAAAAGAGUCAUAAAAAUACUUCCUGGACAUUAGAAACACUGAUGCUUUCAAAUUUAUUACAGGAGCAGGAGAAGAAAGAAAAAAGAACAAAAUGGGAAGGAGAAAGAGAAAGGUAAAAUAGUAAAGAAAAAGCAAAAAUAAUUUGAGAAUACUGUGUUUAUAGACAGCUCAACUGACUCCUUGGUAUUGCUCAGAAAAAUAAGAGGAAUAUUAUUAAACCAGAGCAGCCUGAUUUCUGCUUAUGUAGAAGCCACUUCGAAUUGCCUGUGGGAGACACAAUAGGGAGAAUCUCUCUGUCCUCAAGACAUAUGAUUGAAGCCAUUGUGCUCUCUCUCAAAGACAUCUUAACAUGCCUUGUCUGUCCUCAUCAGCAAGCACAUGGGCUUCCCGCUGAACUCUAGUUUCAGAAUGACCUUUGAGGUGUCCCCAAGGAUCCAUAAAGUUAAUAGCUUUUAUUCUGAGUCAGACACCAGCACACAGUCUCUCAAUUUAGUGAGGAUCCAGCUAUUGGCUUUCAUAGAACGUGGCAAGAGACAGAAGCAAUUGGCUUUGAUGGGUAUGAGGAGGAAAAGGUGGCAGAGUGAAAGCCCCGCUGACCCUCUCCAGCACCUUUCAGGUGAACAACAGCAGCAGCAGAGACAAAUUGAUGGAGCAAGUAACAGAAGCACGUGUCAUCUGAAAUGAAUGUGGCAGAGUUGAGCAAAUUGGCAAGAGUACCUUCCAGACGCACAGAGAUAUCUCUAAUACAUUUAAGGAAGACAUGGAGAGUCCCUGCCUAUCUCCUGGAUAUUAAGUAGGUACAGAUUUCCUAAAAGUAAGUAAGAGGGUCUGGAAGGGUCUGGCCAAUAUCUUUACUUGGAAAGAUGAGAACUCAGAGCAAAAGAGGACUCAAGAGUGUUAGGGAAGGUCACACCUUGCGACUGUCUUCAAGCCCCGGGUUGAUGGGAACCAGGGCUGUAAGGAUGACCCUGUAACUUUACCACCCUUGUAAUUCUCCGAGCUGGGCUCCUAUAUCAAGCCAACAAGCUAAGGGCAAGGUGAGGAGAGAAAGGUGAGAAUCACACUCUGAUAUCACCCUUGUACAAUGCCAGCUGAACAGAGAUGAAUCAGCUCAACCACACUGGCUAAAGGGCUUUACCAAGAGCCACAGGUCACAAAGGGAUACAGAAGAUCCGAAUCAAAUAAUGAAUCAGGUUGAUAUUAGUGAUAAUACGGCAUCGUGCAAAUAAAUGGAUAUGUAAACAGCGAAUAUGUCUCCCAUUGAAACACCCAUGAGAAUAGUUACAAAACUUGACCAUGGCUAUAAAGAAAAUAUCAGUAAUUUUCCCCCAAGUAGACAUAGUAGAGACUUCUUUGACCACCAAGUAAUAAAACCAGAAAUUAAAAAGUAGAAAUGAGACAAAAACCCAACCAUAUGGAAAAAUUAAACCCCCUCCUCAGGACUUCCCUGGUGGUGCAGUGGUUAAGACUCUGCACUCCCAAUGCAGGGGGUCUGGGUUCGAUCCCUGGUCAGGGAAGUAGAUCCCACAUGCGUGCGGCAGCUAAGGGUUUGCAUGCCACAACGAAGGAGCCAGGGACCUGCAACUAAGGGGCCCGCAUGCCGCAACUAAGAGCCAGUGCAACCAAAUAAAUAAAUA